rnacentral:rRNA from 1 species
GAUGAACGCUGGCGGCGUGCCUAAUACAUGCAAGUCGAGCGAACAGAUGAGGAGCUUGCUCCUCUGACGUUAGCGGCGGACGGGUGAGUAACACGUGGAUAACCUACCUAUAAGACUGGGAUAACUUCGGGAAACCGGAGCUAAUACCGGACAAUAUAUUGAACCGCAUGGUUCAAUAGUGAAAGACGGUUUUGCUGUCACUUAUAGAUGGAUCCGCGCCGCAUUAGCUAGUUGGUAAGGUAACGGCUUACCAAGGCAACGAUGCGUAGCCGACCUGAGAGGGUGAUCGGCCACACUGGAACUGAGACACGGUCCAGACUCCUACGGGAGGCAGCAGUAGGGAAUCUUCCGCAAUGGGCGAAAGCUUGACGGAGCAACGCCGCGUGAGUGAUGAAGGUCUUCGGAUCGUAAAACUCUGUUAUUAGGGAAGAACAAAUGUGUAAGUAACUAUGCACGUCUUGACGGUACCUAAUCAGAAAGCCACGGCUAACUACGUG